rnacentral:lncRNA from 1 species
CCAUGUAAUGAACAAGAAUGGGAUAAGGAGUUGGCUUACAAUCGCCACUUCACACAAUACAUAAUAAAACAUACAUCAUUCAGAGAUACACACAUAGGUCCGACUACGGAACCAAAAGAAAAGAAGACAACCCAACUGCUAGAUCCCUGAUCGUCCCAACUGGGCUCCACUACUGAUCAACAAGAAAAGAAACAACACAACGGACAAGAUCUUCACCGAGCUCCCACUUGAGCUCAGUAGCGUCACCUGCACUGGUCUCAUCGGCACCUGCAACUGUUUGGAAGUAUCUGUGAGUCACGAGGACUCAGCAGUCUCACACCCGCGAGAUCAAGACUAUUUAAGCUUAUAGGAAAGGAUGGUGUAGUGAGGUGGAGCUGCAGCAAGCACUAAGCAUAUAUGGUGGCUAAACAUACGCAAAUAAGAGCGAGAAGAGAAGCAACGGAUCAGUCGUGAAGCUAGCAAUGAUCAAGAAGUGAUCCUGAACUCCUACUUACGUCAAACAUAACCCAGAAACCGUGUUCACUUCCCGGACUCCGCCGAGAAGAGACCAUCACGGCUACACACGCGGUUGAUGCGUUUUAAUUAAGGUCAAGUGUCAAGUUCUCUACAACCGGACAUUAACAAAUUCCCAUCUGCCACAUAACCGCGGGCACGGCUUCCGAAAGAUAAUACCCUGCAGGGGUGUCCCAACUUAGCCCAUUAUAAGCUCUCACGGUCAACGAAGGAUAAACCUUCUCCCGAAAAGACCCGAUCAGUCUCGGAAUCCCGGUUUACAAGACAUUUCGACAAUGGUAAAACAAGACCAGCAAAGCGGCCCGAAUGUGCCGACAAAUCCCGAUAGGAGCUGCACAUAUCUCGUUCUCAGGGCACACCGGAUUGUCCAAGCUUCCGGUAGGCCAGCCCAGAGUUGCCCCUGGUGGCCACCGGCGACUGACAGGUUGGACCAACACUCAGAGGAGCACUGGCCCGGGGGUUUAAAAUAAAGAUGACCCUUGAGUCUGCAGAACCCAAGGGAAAAGGCUUAGGCAGGCAAAUGGUAAAACCAAGGUUGGGCCUUGCUGGAGGAGUUUUAUUCAAAGCGAACUGUCAAGGGGGUCCCAUAAAUCACCCAACCGUGUAAGGAACGCAAAAUCAAGGAACAUAACACCGGUAUGACGGAAACUAGGGCGGCAAGAGUGGAACAAAACACCAGGCAUAAGGCCGAGCCUUCCACCCUUUACUAAAUAUAUAGAUGCAUUAAUAAUAUAAGAGAUAUUGUGAUAUCCCAACAUAAACAUAAUCCAACAUGGAACAAUCUUCAACUUCACCUGCAUCUAGCAACGCUAUAAGAGGGGCUGAGCAAAAGCGGUAACUUAGCCAAACAAUGGUUUGCUAGGAAGGUGACAAAGGUUAGAGGUUCAUGGCAAUUUGGGAGGCUUGAAGAGCAAGUGAAUAGGUAACGCGGCAUAGCAAUAGAGCGAACAACUAGCAAGCAAAGAUAGAAGUGAUUUCGAGGGUAUGGUCAUCUUGCCUGAGAUCCCGCAAGGAAGAAGAACGAGUCCAUGAAGAAGACAAACGGAUGUAGUCGAACGAAUCCUC